rnacentral:lncRNA from 1 species
GGUUAUUAUGGAGGCAUUGGGUUCCCCUGCUAAGGUUGUGGGCUGCCCGACAUGGGUGCUGAGAGCCAAAGUUGAGUCCUCUGCUAGAGUAGCAAGUGCACGUACAUGCUGAGCCUGCUUCCCAGUCAUCCUUUUAUCAGCAUUAACCUUUAAAGAGCCGCAGGUUCUUCUGGGUGUGGCUUCCCACUGACUGGCCCACCCUGCGCUUAUUAUUUAGUUCUGAAGCUGCUUCCACAUUUCUCGGCCUUUGUUGAUAUGAUUGACACUUCUUUUUUUUUUUUUUAAAGAUUUAUUUAUUAUUAUAUGUAAGUACACUGUAGCUGUCUUCAGACACUCCAGAAGAGGGAGUCAGAUCUCGUUAUGGAUGGUUGUGAGCCACCAUGUGGUUGCUGGGAUUUGAACUCUGGACCUUCGGAAGAGCAGUCAGGUGCUCUUACCCACUGAGCCAUCCUCACCAGCCCGGCACCUCAUUUCUGUGUACUAGUUUUUGAAUAAGUCUUUUUCUGCAGCUGUAGUAAAAGAAAGAACAGAGGUUUAUUACUCAUAGCUCUGGAGACUGAGGUGUUGAAGUUCAGUGUGCCAGCAGGUUUGUUUUUUGAUAAGGAGUGCUGUCUGUUUAAAGUGAUGUGGCUUUCCCUGGUGAAUGAGAUAUAACAGGACAGAGUUAGAAUAAUUUAGUUUAACAUUUAGUUGACUUUAUUUUCAGCUCUAGAAUUUGAGUAACACUUCAUUUGAGAAAAUAGAACUGUUCAUGGGCCAUGUAAAAUUUGAUUUUUAUACAGAGGCUGAAACAAAAGAACACAGAGCAGAUUGGUCAUUUCAAAGUUAAUUACUCUCCAGUGAUAGAAAAAUAGCUAGUUUGUUAAACAAACAGGUUAGUUUUGCUUGAUGUCUGGAGCACUUGUUAAUAGGAGCGACCCUCUUUUGAACUUAGCCUGAUCUUUGGGGCCUACUGUAAGAGCUUAAGUCCCAGAUGGUGAGCUGAUGCACAUUUCCUGAAGAAGGAGCAGCUUGGGUAUCUGUGUGGCUGGGGCUCUGGGCGAUCUCCCCAUGGAGCCGGGUUCUGAACUACCACCUCAGCUCACACUCCUGACUGCUACAUACCGCAGAUGAGACUUAAACAUGUGAAUCUGCUGCACACAGAGGAGUGAAAACAGAUGGCACUGGGCUUCUGUGGAGACAACAAGCUUUAAGUGAAUUGCAAGUUACUUUUAAAACUAGGGUUGAAGGAGUGGAAAGAUCUUAUCUGGCCAGUAGCAUUUAUUUAAUUUAAAUAUAAAACCGUAACUGAUACCUUUUGAGGUAGGGUUGUUUUUGUUCUUACUAAGUUGGGCAUGUUAGUAUCUUCACGAUCUAUAUAGAGGGGUUAUGUAUCAUGGAUUAGUGCUUUCCCUAACUGCAUGAAGUGUAUAUUCACUUCUGUUCACCUCUAAACUAUAAUUUUCUAAAAUAAGAAAAUGCAAAUGUGAGCAUAUGGCACUGUAUGGGAAUUCUAGCAUGUUUAAAGAUUGUUCUGUUAUAUUGGCUUGUAGGAAAUAAGUAGAGGAAAUUGAAUUUAAACUGUAAAUGAAAAUUUAGAUAUUUUUCCUUUUUUUUUAAAAAGAUAUAUUUAUUAUUAUAUCUAACUACACUGUAGCUGUCUUCAGAUGCACCAGAAGAGGGUGUCAGAUCUCAUUACGGAGGGUUGUGAGCCACCAUGUGGUUGCUGGGAUUUGAACUCAGGACUUUCGGAAGAGUAGUUGGUGCUCUUAACCACUGAGCCAUCUCUCCAGCCCUAUUUUUACUUUUUGAGUAUUUUGCCUGCAUAUAUGUAUAUGCAUUAUAUGGAUACCCUGGUAUCCAAGGAAUUCAGAAGAGCUGUAGUUCUGAAUGGCUGUGAAUCACCAUGUGGAUUCUAAGAACUGAAUCAAGGUCCCCUCCAAGAGUAACAAGUGUCCUUAACUGCGGAGACAUUUCUCCAGCCCGAAUUUGGUAAUUAAAAAAAAACAAAACAAAACUGGUAUAAGCCAUUUGUAGUGAAAAUAACUUGGAAUAAAAAUGCUAUUUAAAAAUAAUUUGACUCAGCCAAUGUAUAGUGGUGCAUACCUUUAAUCCCAGCAUUUGAGAGGCACGGUGGGGAGAAGGGAGAGUAUCUUUGAGUUUAGAGGCCAGCCUGGUCUACAGAGUGAGUUCCAGGACAGCCAGGACUACACAGAGAAACCCUGUCUUGAAAAACC